GAUGAACGCUGGCGGCGUGCCUAAUACAUGCAAGUCGAGCGAACGGACGAGAAGCUUGCUUCUCUGAUGUUAGCGGCGGACGGGUGAGUAACACGUGUAUAACCUACCUAUAAGACUGGGAUAACUUCGGGACACCGGAGCUAAUACCGGAUAAUAUUUUGAACCGCAUGGUUCAAAAGUGAAAGACGGUCUUGCUGUCACUUCUAGAUGGAUCCGCGCUGCAUUAGCUAGUUGGUAAGGUAACGGCUUACCACGGCAACGAUGCAUAGCCGACCUGAGAGGGGGAUCGGCCACACUGGAACUGAGACGGGGUCCAGGGUCCUACGGGAGGCAGCAGUAGGGAAUCUUACGCAGUGGGCGAAAGCCUGACGGAGCGACGCCGAGUGAGUGAUGAAGGUGUUCGGAUCGUAAAACUCUGUUAUUAGGGAAGAACAGAUGUGUAAGGAACUGUGCACAUCUUGACGGUACCUAAUCAGAAAGCCACGGCUAACUACGUG
rnacentral:rRNA from 1 species